rnacentral:rRNA from 1 species
GUGGGGAAUAUUGGACAAUGGGCGCAAGCCUGAUCCAGCCAUGCCGCGUGAGUGAUGAAGGCCUUAGGGUUGUAAAGCUCUUUCAGUAGGGAAGAUAAUGACGGUACCUACAGAAGAAGCCCCGGCUAACUUCGUGCCAGCAGCCGCGGUAAUACGAAGGGGGCUAGCGUUGUUCGGAUUUACUGGGCGUAAAGCGCACGUAGGCGGAUUGGUCAGUUAGAGGUGAAAUCCCGAAGCUCAACUUCGGAACUGCCUUUAAUACUGCCAGUCUCGAGUCCGGAAGAGGUGAGUGGAACUCCUAGUGUAGAGGUGGAAUUCGUAGAUAUUAGGAAGAACACCAGUGGCGAAGGCUGCUCACUGGUCCGGUACUGACGCUGAGGUGCGAAAGCGUGGGGAGCAAACAGGAUUAGAUACCCUUGUAGUCC